UUUUUCCCUUGGCAAUUGCAGCCCUGCAGAGGAUUGCGCCACAAAGCGCAUUUAUUUUUUUUCUUAGAGACAAAAUGAAUCCCCGGUGAUUGUUAAAUUGCAGUGCGAGGCCAGGCAGCUAAUCCAGUGUAUAAAUCCUAUUCGGAGCAGGCUGGGUGCGGCUUCCUGAGCCGGGCAAGCUCCAGAGCUAACCCCACAAUGGGGAUCUGCGUGUCACCUCCCGGCUCCUCCUUGUGUGUCCCGACGCGACAAGUGGUUUUUCCAUUCCCAAAAGCACCGCAGCCUUAUUGCAUGUAACAUACAAAAUUCCCCUCCCCUGCACGUAGACUUGUACAGCCCGAGGGCAAAUGGACUGCGGGUACGUGAGGAUUUGUCCCAUGGGGCUGCGGGGACAGAGCUGAGCCCUCCCCUAUGGCAAAAGCUUCGGGCUGAGCGCACGCAGUUGGGCUUGGCUUUGGAUUUUUUGGGGAUGGGUUUUCGUGCCUCGGUAUAACCAAGGGGUUUUGUUUCACCUCCGAAAGGGUUUUCUCAAAAUAGCCCCCAUACCAAAAAUGGGGAGGCUGGAAAUAGCGGUGUGAGUAAACGCGUCGGAGUGGAAGGAGCGGGGAGGAACAACGGGAAAGUCGGCGUGAGCCGCAGCCGCGCGUCCUCGUAUUAAAAAAUACGCGGCGGCAGCAGCGGCACCCCCCCCCCCUCUUCCCCCCCCGCAAAGCGGUGAAGUUUCCCAUUAAAAUUGACACCAGGGGAUGGUCUUAGCAGCCUCGUCCGCCCCGGAUUGGUGAGCCCCGCCGGAAGCCGCCUGCACACGCAUUUUCUAACAGAUAAGUCAAUCGGCAGAGACUUGCCCCCCUCUCCCCCCCCACCUUAUCCCAAAAUACCGUUUUCGCAAAGCCGGAGCCCACCAGUCACCCGGCAGCUCCCAGCACUCCCCUCUCCGCCACCCACCCUCGGCUCCUUAGCUCUAAAGGAGGGGGAUGAGGGGAUGUUUCCCCCCUCGCACCUCCUUUGGGGGUGCAAAAGGGUCGGCAGCAGCCGGCACCGGGGGUCCCGCACCCAGCCACCCCUCCGGGCCCGCAGCUUCCCCGGUGCCGCAUAACCUCUGUCCUCAGUCGGCUCUGGGAUGACGUGGCUUCGCACCCACCGCAAUUGGGGAUUUCGAGGUGUCCGUUCUGCUGGAGGCUCCUUAUGGACCGGGGGGAAAUAAAAAGAGAAGAUAGGCCUUUUCUUUUUUGUCGCGGCACGAAAUACCGUCUUUAGGCAAGGGUCUAAAGAUGCUAAAACGGCACCAGAAAUCGAAGUCUAGGAAAGGAGUGAGAAAAAUGAAAUAACGCGAAAUCGGCCGGAGCUGGGGAAGGUUCGCUCUAACAAGUGGUGGGAGGAUGCUCUGCCAACGAGUGGGGCUGCCUCUUCUUUAUAUAUUUCCUUGGCUCUUAUUAUUAUUAUUAUUGCUAUUUUUUCUUCGGAGUGGGAGAGUUUGCUUAAAAAGUGAUCUUAAUUAAAAAGAGAAGGAGCGGAAUGGGUAAGUCGGUGCUGGAUUCGGCCUCGCCGAGUACUGGGGAGGGAGGUGGUGUUCGUAACGUGUUGGUCUUUUUGUAGUUUCCCACGUGUAGAUUCCCGAGAAUACUUAAUGCUUCUCAUCAGCUGCAGCCGUCCGGAUAGAAAGCUGUUGGCUGCUUCUGCGGACGGGCGAGCAGAGCUGAUCGUCUUCCCCCUUCUUUAGCUUCUAUGAUCAUUUCUUCCUCUGUCUUCUCAAAGUUCAAGCUCUUUUUUAAAACAAAGAUCGGGAGCAAAACCGAUCUUUGUUCGCACCUCCACUUCUCCGCACCGUCUGUUGAGAGUUCCGUCUAUUCUCGGUUCCGACUCUUCACGGUUAGCAUCGUUUCUUUGUUUUUGCGUUGGGCUGAAACCCACUUAAUCUGCACCAUCCAGCGGGAAACGAAUCGGGGACUGCAGACACACGGCACGGAAAUCCCUCUUGGAGCAAAGCUGGGAACUUCUGGAACAAAUCCCCCCCAAUAGCGGUUACCUCUCCUGAUGCCCACCCAGUCAAACCCACUACUAACCACCAUCCGCCCCACGCUUUCCAUCUGCGUGGCUCUUCCAUUCGCAUCGGUGUCCUCUCUUCUAUUUUAGUUUAUUUUCCUCCCCUCUCUGCCGACUCUUAGAGCCCGCUGUGUGGACGGAAGCUUGCUAGGCUUGGAAUUAAAAGGUCAUUUCGAGAGGAUUGCCAAGUCUACGUGCUGGGGGGACUCAGCCUUUUAUGCCGCCAUGUGUUGUCUCCGUCCGCUGCCAUAGGAAAGCAGUUGUGCCGUAAUGAGGUACCUUUAAAUUUAAUUUCCUGCCCCUCCCCUGCUUUAUGGAUUUCUAAUAACAAUGUUGGAAACCGGAGAAGAAACCUCUUAAAGUCUCCCGGACGGAGGGUUUAUAUAAAUAAUGGAAGGUAGCCGAGCUUAAUUAAGUUUUCCAACAAAUUGGUAGGAUAGGAAGAAAUGCGGU
rnacentral:lncRNA from 1 species